rnacentral:lncRNA from 1 species
UGCCACCACUGACGGCCUGGGUUUGAUCCCUGGGACCCACAUGGUGGAAGGAGAGAGCAGCCUCUGUAGAUUGACCUUUGACCUCCACGAGCACAUGGUAUGUGUGGCCAAAAUGUAAGGAUUGUAUGUGUGUGUUUGGCCAAAUGCACAUGUACAAUCCUUACAUAAUAAAUAUUUCUAAAAGUCCUUAAAAUAAGAGCCACGCAUUUCUGCCUUCCCAAACUUGCCCAUCCGAAUAAGAUCACAUGCUGUUGGCCAUAAGCCUGGAUGGGGGCAUAUCUUGGGGAAAAGAGCAAAAGAGAGCAUAUCUGGUAUCCCGCCUGGCCAUACUCACCCUAAACUGUUCAGACUGUUCUCUGUUCCUUGUGGGCGCUACCGUAGCCAUAGUGACAGUCCACCUAGCACAGCUGCGAGAAUCUUCUUCAGUCUGUAUUAUUUGUUUCUUUUUACAUUGAUUGAUUGAUUGAUUGAUUGAUUGUUCAUGGUGCUGGGGAUAGAAGCCAGGAUCCCGCGAGUGUCAGACAAAUACUUUACCCCUGAGCCAGCCUCAGUUCAGAAUUUCAAAACCAGAGUCCUGGAUUCCCACCC